AGGACGAACGCUGGCGGCGUGCUUAACACAUGCAAGUCGAGCGGAAAGGCCCUUCGGGGUACUCGAGCGGCGAACGGGUGAGUAACACGUGAGUAAUCUGCCCCUAGCUCUGGGAUAGCUCCGGGAAACCGGGAUUAAUACCAGAUACGACCACUUUAGACAUCUCUUGUGGUGGAAAGAUUUCGGCUGGGGAUGAACUCGCGGCCUAUCAGCUUGUUGGUGAGGUAACGGCUCACCAAGGCGACGACGGGUA
rnacentral:rRNA from 1 species